rfam:Ictidomys tridecemlineatus contig046123, whole genome shotgun sequence.
GGGUAAUAUGGUAUGAGAUCCAUCACCACAUUGAUUGCCAGGGUUGAUUUGACUGAUCUGGCUGGCUAAGCAGGUGUUCCCUUCCGUUCCC